CCUACGUGAGGCAGCAGUGGGGGAUAUUGCACAAUGGGGGAAACCCUGAUGCAGCGACGCCGCGUGUGGGAAGACGGUCCUCUGGAUUUUAAACCACUGUUCCCAGGGACGAAGAUGACGGUCCCUGGGGAGGAAGCUCUUGCUAACUACGUGCCAGCAGGCGCGGUAAUACGUAGGGAGCAAGCGUUGUCCGGAAUUACGGGGUGUAAAGGGCGCGUAGGCGGGAUGGCAAGUUGGGGGUUAAAUCUACCGGCUCAACUGGUAGUCGCACUCAAAACUGCUAUUCUUGAGUGAAGGAGAGGCAGGCGGAAUUCCUAGUGGAGCGGUGAAAUGCGUAGAUAUUAGGAAGAACACCAGUGGCGAAGGCGGCCUGCUGGGCUUAUACUGACGCUGAGGCUCGAAAGUGUGGGGAGCAAACAGGAUUAGAUACCCCAGUAGUC
rnacentral:rRNA from 1 species